UACGGAGGGUGCAAGCGUUAUCCGGAUUCACUGGGUUUAAAGGGUGCGUAGGCGGCGCGGUAAGUCGGGUGUGAAAUCUCGGAGCUUAACUCCGAAACUGCAUUCGAUACUGCCGUGCUCGAGGACUGGAGAGGAGACUGGAAUUUACGGUGUAGCGGUGAAAUGCGUAGAUAUCGUAAGGAAGACCAGUGGCGAAGGCGGGUCUCUGGACAGUUCCUGACACUGAGGCACGAAGGCCAGGGGAGCAAACGGG
rnacentral:rRNA from 1 species